AUGGCUUAGUGGAAAGAGCCUGGGCUUUGGAGCCAGAGGUUGUGGGUUCUAAUCCCACU
rnacentral:tRNA from 1 species